rnacentral:lncRNA from 1 species
UGGUCGCUUCUGGGGCACAGAACAGUUCGCGGUGCCAGGACAGGCAGGAAGCCUGUCCUGGCAUCCCCACUGCACCGCUGACCGGGAGCCGCCUCAUGUAAGCCCGUGCCCCAAUUCUCUGCCAGGCCUGAGCAGCUGAGGGGAGGAUAAUUUUGUUCAAUCCGUGGCAACUGAGGAUGUAGAGAAGGAAAGAUUUGCAAGGGAACAUGCUCUGUUUUUGCCAUGUGCACUUUAAGCUACUGGCAGGGAAUCCAAACGGGAGUUUUGUGAGUUGUCGAUAUAACGAUCACAUCCAAAGCUGUGAGAGCAGAUAGGAUCCCAAAGACAGGUGCCUGUGGUGCCACACCAAGGUUAAAAUCUGCUGCCCUAAGUGCGGAAGAUGCGACAAAGAAUUACUGUCCUCCUGGGACCACUGUGAGUUAUGUCUGUCGUCCAGGAUAUGAGAGCACCGAACUGAGACCUGUCAUUACUUGUCUUGAGAAUUUCACAUGGUCAGAAGCCCCUGAGUUCUGUAGAGGUGGGUGUCUUUUUUGUCACUUUUCUCUCUCCAUUGAGCGAGUGGCCCUCUGUGAGCAGAUAGGAGUGUUUUCUGUUAAGCAGCUGGUUCACAUUUCAUCACGGCUUGUCAAUGUUAGUUUGAAAACCCUUUUUGUCAGGUUUUGAUUUGAAAUUUGAAUUCAGCUUUAAAUGUAGAGAGAAAACAAAGUGAGUGCCAUUGAACGUUAGACAGCGCUUGCAGUAGCUAAGCUUUUCAUUGUGUUCGUUGUGCUUCCCAGCAGCGAUAGGAAAUCACAAAUAAUGCAGUAAAGUUAAUAUCAUACUCUGGUAAAUAUUCAUUUAACAAUGGUGAGCACAGUAUCCCUGGAAGCUAUAUGUGAAGGAGAAUAAUAGUAUUAUUUUUGUCGUUGUUAAAAUUCACACAUUUAAAAAUUCUAGCCUCAGAGACCACUCAUUCAGCAAACAGUUCAACCAAAUUGAAUCACCGUAUUAAAAAAUAAAUGCAAUAUUUAAUAACUAUGUGUAUGGCA